CUCCCCGACCUGCAAGCUCCGCUUGGAGCGCUUCAGCCGCCCUAAUGUCUUCGACUCUGUGGAUCCAUUCCUCCCUUGUGGGAGUGUUCGAUUUUUUCCAAUAUACUGGUAUCAACGAUUUUGCCGCGUUCAGCAGAUGACUUAGUAUUGACUUUUUAUAUUUGGAUAGCGGCUGUGUAGAGAUGUGUAACAUGGCCAGUUCCUCUGACCAUCCAGUGUCGUCUCCGAGGAUCAGUUGAGUGUCUGAUUUAACUUGGUUCCAGUAUGGGACGAUAUGGGUGCAUUCCCACCAGAUGUGUCUGAUAAUUCCUCUUAUCCUGGCAUCUCCAGCAUGUUGGUGGUGUUGUGGGGAAGAUCCUGUGUAGUAAUACUGGUGUUCUAUACCACAUGGAGAUCAGUUUAUAGUUAACGUCUUGGUAGUGUGAGCUGGAGGAGCUUUUGUGUUGCCAUAGCAGUGCUUUAUCCCAUUGGGUCGGUGUGAAUGUUUUGUUCAUGGCGCUCUCCCAUUGCCGCUGAAAGGUGUUGUUUUCUGUGGUGGCGUUGGUCAGUAGGUACUGGUAGAGGGUCGAUAUAGCUUUUCCUAUCGAUGUUCCUCGUAGGCAGAGGUCUUCAAACCAUGUUAAAUCUCUUUGUAGCUUUUCUUUGUGUGGGAGUGAGUGGAAAUAAUGUGCUAGUUGCAUGUAUUGGAGUAUCGACAUUGGGGAUUGCGGUUGGCCCUCCAGCAAUGUGUCUAGUGUCUUCAGAUUACCCCCUGGGUGAUUUUGCAUAUUGGUAUGUAGUUUGCUUCACCUAGGAAUGUCCAGGACUUUAGUGGUAGUCCGCCACCUAUGUCAGGGUUGUGUGCUAUCGGUGUUAGAGGGCAUGGGGUCGGGGAGAUUUGCGGUGCUUCCCUGAUAGAUUCCCAUGUGAGCAGGGUUUGUGUGAUUGGGUCCUCCCCUCUUCUUCCUGCACCCCUACUUGUUUGUUUUUGCCAUAUCAGUGCCUUUAGUUUCGACGUGUUCCUCCCAUGAUCAAGGGUUACCCAUUGUUUAGUCGUUUCCGAUUCAUGCCAGUCUAGAAUACGUUGUAGCCUGGUAAUAUUUUUUGAAGUCUGGCAGUGCCAGGCCCCCCUUGUGUCUGGGCAGGCACAGAAGAUCAUGACGCAGUCUGGAUAGUUCCCCUCUCCAUAUGUAUUUAAUGAUUGUCGAUUUCAGGGUUGAGAAGAAUGUUGCUGGUAACAUUAUCAGUAUGGUUUGGAAUAGAUAAAGUAUUUUUGGCAAGACAUUCAUUUUGAGUACCGCUAUAUGGCCGUGCCACGUAAUGUGAG